GACGAACGCUGGCGGCGCGCCUAACACAUGCAAGUCGAACGAGAGAGAGGAAGCUUGCUUCCUCAAUCGAGUGGCGAACGGGUGAGUAACGCGUGAGGAACCUGCCUCAAAGAGGGGGACAACAGUUGGAAACGACUGCUAAUACCGCAUAAGCCCACAGGUCGGCAUCGACCAGAGGGAAAAACUCCGGUGGUGUGAGAUGGACCCGCGUCUGAUUAGGUAGUUGGUGAGGUAACGGCCCACCAAGCCGACGAUCAGUAGCCGACCUGAGAGGGUGACCGGCCACAUUGGGACUGAGACACGGCCCAGACUCCUACGGGAGGCAGCAGUGGGGAAUAUUGCACAAUGGAGGAAACUCUGAUGCAGCGACGCCGCGUGAGUGAAGAAGUAUUUCGGUAUGUAAAAGCUCUAUCAGCAGGGAAGACAGUGACGGUACCUGACUAAGAAGCUCCGGCUAAAUACGUG
rnacentral:rRNA from 1 species